GAAGUUGAAACAGCGGGCUUUCGUGCAUUACAAAUCAUCGGCUCGGGUUACUUGAAGAAUCAGAGAAGAACCGAAGCAGUAUGUCAUAAGCGCCUCUAUCUCAACAAUCUACCAUGACAUUAUCAUCCAAUAGAGAGAUCGUAAUUAAGGGAACCAAGAGUUACAGAAACUAGUCAACUUCUUUCUUACAUCAGGUAACAACAACAUAUCCACAUACUAUUAUUUUCAUAUCACUUCUUCUUCUACAGUAUCCUUAUUAUUAAAACUGUCCCAUCUUGAAUCCAGAUUCAUAAACAAUCUAACUGGAUCUACUUGCUUGCCCUUAGCUGGACCAAGUAUCUUGACAAACCACUUCGGCUUGAAUGAAGCAAUAACGUGUGCCAUUACCAAUCCAAGUAACAGUCCAGGCCAAUACCCGAAAAACACUGCUUUCCACUCAAUCACUUCGUCCUCUUCUUCUUCUUCGUCUUCUUCCUUGGGAUAUUUUGUUGGUGGCGCAACGCAACUUCCUUGGAGAGGAAGACCACAGAGACCUACAUUCCCUUCAAAUGAUGAUUCAGCUUGCCCACUAAACUGUGGUCCCUGUGGUAUUUCACCUUUGAGUUGGUUAUGAGCUACACUUAUGUACGCCAGAAAUGAGAGGCUCCCGAGUUCUCUUGGAAUAUUCCCUGAUAGUUGAUUUCUUGACAGGUCUAGUGACUCGAGCUCCGUAACAUUUGCCAAAGACAUAGGAAUAUGGCCAGUGAAGGCGUUGUUCGAUAAGUUGAGCGCUAUCAAUUCCUUCAACAGACCAAUAGACUCAGGAAUCUGUCCUUCAAGUUUGUUUCCAGAGAAAUCAAUGGUGCUGUAGAAAGUAAGGACUUUCCCCUGCUCCAUGAAUAGACCUUUGUAUUGCAAAUCCAUUGUAUCUUCAUAGAUAUAAUAAGCAUUCUUGUAGUCUCCCAUAUAAAUACGCCCAUCUUCAUUUAUCUUGGGUGAUGAUGCUUUCCAGUUAACAAAGAAAUUUGGUGGCAAGCUUCCAGUAAAGCUGUUAUCUGACAAUUCAAGUAUCCGCAGCUCGGGAAACGCGAGAGGACCUCGAUCAGGAGGAGAGAGAUGGCCGAAGAAUCUGUUUGAACGGAGAGUCAAGACAUGCAAAUUGGGUAGCGCCUUCAGCCAGAAAGGAAACGUGUCUUCAAUUCUGUUGUUGUCAACACUCAGAAACCUCAGAGAGGAGCAAUUCAAAAGUGAUUUUGGAAGCUUCCCGGUUAGUCGAUUAUAGCCAACGUCAAGCGUCUGUGUCUUAGCACCGCUAUGGAACUCGUCAGGAUAGAUCAAGGACGAUGAGAGAGCUUCGGUUGCAGAUUGAGAGAGGUAUGUUCCCUGUGAAACUAUUGUUCCACGCAGACAAGUAGAUCGAACCGAGUGGUGGAGUAGGAAACGCUCCUGUCAUGGAGUUAUAGGCAAAAUCUAGUAACUGCACUGAUGAGUUAAGUAAAACUUCUGAAGAACCUUCGAAACCAGUCAAAGAAUUGUUAACAAGAUUUGCUAUGCUAAGACGAGGAAGCUUCCAAAACCACUCAGGUACUUUCCCUUUGAUUAGAUUGUUGGAAAUGUCUAUAUGCUCCAAGUUUUGAAGGGUCUUAAAGAUGUUUGGAAACUCGAUAAUGUCGCACUGGAUCAAAAUCAAGCUUAUUAAGCUCAAUGGAAACUCUGAAUCUGAACUUAAACUGGCUGGUAAUAACCUAUUUUGACGAAUAUCAAAGACCAACAAAGAUUUGAGAGGAGCGAAGACGCGUAAGUCAAUUGGGUGACUUAUGUUUAGGGAAGCAAGUUCAAGAUGGUUGAGGUUUAUGAGCUUUGAGAUAGGCUCUAUGAUUUUUCCUUCAAAUUGGUUAAACCCAAGGGACAAACGAACUAGCUUAGAUGAAGAAGAAGAGUUUGGGACAUCAAUAGAACCAGUGAGAUGAUUCUUUUUCAGAUCAAGAUAAGACAAGAAAGGCAAAGUGGGUAGUAAAUCAAAAGGUAUGGCUCCUGAGAAUUGAUUGUAAGAAAGGUCUAAAAAGGAAAGCUUUGUUAGGUUUCUUACAGGUGGGAAACUACCAGUGAGCUCAUUAUGGGAAAGGUUUAAAUGGGUAAGCAAGAUAAGGUUACUAAUUGAGGAAGGAACUUGACCAGUAAAGCUACUAGAGGCAAGAGACAAAACCUCUAAUCUGGUGAGAUUGCUGAAUUCAGAAGGGAGUGAAGAGGAAGUGAAGUUGUUGUGAGAGAGAUUAAGGUAACGAAGCUGAUGCAACUCAAAGAGACUACUGUUUGGUUUGAGAGUUCCAGUGAAGCAACCACUUGGGAGCUGAAGCUUCGUGACCGCACCAGUCGUGUUAUCACACUGGACUCCGUUUAAGUAGUCACUGCGGUUGCAGCCGUCAGAUUCAAACUCAUUCUUGAAUUGGAUUAGAGCUUGGAUCUGGUCAGGAAGACAAGCAAGAGCGUCGGUCGUCAAGAAGCUUGAAACGAAGACGAUACAGUAGAGUAAGAGUAGCGAGCAAAAAUGCAAACGCAUGGUGUUUGUGAUUGAACCAACAAGUUGAGGAAAUUAUUGAACCCAAAAAAAGACAUAUCAAAGAUUUGCUAUAUAUAUGUUAUUUUAAGCCGCCUUUACUAAAUAUGUGGGGUUUAAAUGUCACGUGAAAUGUCUACGAGUCACAUUUGUUCAUGAAGUAAAUUCCACGUGGACAUCUCUGACUAUAUAACUGGGAGUUAUAGUUGACUGUUAAAAU
rnacentral:lncRNA from 1 species